UACGUAGGGGGCAAGCGUUGUCCGGAAUCAUUGGGCGUAAAGCGCGCGUAGGCGGCCCGGUAAGUCCGCUGUAAAAGUCCAGGGCUCAACCCUGGAAAGCCGGUGGAUACUGUCGGGCUAGAGUCCGGAAGAGGCGAGUGGAAUUCCUGGUGUAGCGGUGGAAUGCGCAGAUAUCAGGAGGAACACCGAUGGCGAAGGCAGGUCUCUGGGCCAAUUACUGACGCUGAGAAGCGAAAGCAUGGGGAGCGAACAGGA
rnacentral:rRNA from 1 species